GUGGGGAAUAUUGGACAAUGGGCGAAAGCCUGAUCCAGCAAUGCCGCGUGAGUGAUGAAGGCCCUAGGGUUGUAAAGCUCUUUUACCCGGGAGGAUAAUGACAGUACCGGGAGAAUAAGCUCCGGCUAACUUCGUGCCAGCAGCCGCGGUAAUACGAGGGGAGCUAGCGUUGUUCGGAAUUACUGGGCGUAAAGCGCGCGUAGGCGGUUUUUUAAGUCAGAGGUGAAAGCCCGGGGCUCAACCCCGGAAUUGCCUUUGAAACUGGAAAACUAGAAGCUUGGAGAGGUCAGUGGAAUUCCGAGUGUAGAGGUGAAAUUCGUAGAUAUUCGGAAGAACACCAGUGGCGAAGGCGACUGACUGGACAAGUAUUGACGCUGAGGUGCGAAAGCGUGGGGAGCAAACAGGAUUAGAAACCCGUGUAGUCC
rnacentral:rRNA from 1 species